AACCAUACAAAAAUAUUACUCUGGUGAAUUACUCAUGGUAAUCAAUCACUAAUUCCAUAAACUGUUUAGAUUACCUGACACCUUACUUCUUACAUUCCGAAUAAAAGGUGGUCAGAAAUUUAUCAUGAAGCUGAAAUCAUAAAGGUUCACAUAUCUUAAGGGUCCAGACAUCGCGCUGAGCACAGCAUUUAGGCUGGGUCCAUUCCCACACUCGGCCAAGGGCCUCCGAAGCAAGGCACUACUUCACUGUGAUUCUGAGUAGGGAUGCUGCAGGGACAAAUGUGGCACUGAGGAGGUUUUGGGUUUGCUUGAUAGAUGACGUGAGCGACACACCUAGCAGAGAACUUAAGAGACCACAGCCACCUACAGCCGGGACAGCCCCGAUUUUCUCUUGCCAGAAUUCCGGCCCCAAGGCUCUGAGAUUCCCGCGAGAUCGCGAUUCCUUCCGGAAGUGUGGUCUGAGCGGUGGAGUUUAGCGUCGGAUUCAGACCCCUCCGUGCCGCUCCAGGCCCCCAGGGCUUCCCAGCGCAUUCUAGCUGGAGCCACAGUGACUCCUGGGACGCACCUGCCAGCUGCAGAUUCCAGCUGUGCUAUUUGCCUUCCAGGGACAUUCCGACUCAACCCACCCUAGGUGACCACCACCACGAUCCUGUCUCUGCCCUGGUCAGCCACAAGUGGGGCUGACUCCUGUGGUUACAUUACCUGGACACUUUCGCCAGUGGGGCCAGUAGGAGGUGUCAGCAAGAUAUAAGUGGGCGGAUAGAGAUCACCACUCCCUCACAGUUUCAGGCCCUCUUCAUAAAACAUGAACUUUGAAAUGGUUUCUCCAACUCUCCUACUGAAGUCAUUAAAUCUUCAUGUAAGGCAUACUUUUCCUAUACCCAGAGGAAAGGCAAAUCCUUAUCAUCAAAGAAAGAGAUGCCAAGAGAUGUCAGGAUUCUUCCUGACUUACAGGGCUUCCUAAGUCCCACUCCCACCCCUUUCCUGCUACUGUUUACUGUAAUGACCUUAUACUCCUAACCUGUCAUAUUCCUUCAUGACUGUCCAUUCUUCAUCAAACCGAGAAUAAAAUACUCAGAUUUAACUGCUUCUUUGGAUCAUCAUUUCCUUAUGAAGGCCCCUGUGUCACACAAAAUUUGUGUUUUCUCCUCUUAAUUUGACUUUUCUCCUAUUAUUAGCUUAUUCUUCAGACUCAGCCAUGGACAUUAAG
rnacentral:lncRNA from 1 species